rnacentral:lncRNA from 1 species
CUCUUCCGACUACAAGCAAUCCUGCACAGACAACAUCAAUGCCAGGCAUUUCAAGCCCAACUCCUGCAUCUUCUACUCCUACGACUACAAGAAAUCCAGCACAGACAACAUUAUUGCCUGGCACUUCAAGCCCAACUCCUGCAUCUUCUGCUCCUCCGACUACAAGCACUCCUGCACAGACAACAUCAUUACCAGGCACUUCAAGCCCCACUCCUGCAUCUUCGGUUCUUCCCACUACAAGCACUUCUGCACAGACAACAUCAGUGCCAGGCACUUCAAGCCCAACUCCUGCAUCUUCUGCUCCUCCAACUACAAGCACUCUUGCACAGACAACAUCAUUACCAG